rnacentral:rRNA from 1 species
UACGGAGGGUGCAAGCGUUAUCCGGAUUCACUGGGUUUAAAGGGUGCGUAGGUGGGCAAGUAAGUCAGUGGUGAAAUCUCCGGGCUUAACCCGGAAACUGCCAUUGAUACUAUUUGUCUUGAAUACUGUGGAGGUCAGCGGAAUAUGUCAUGUAGCGGUGAAAUGCUUAGAUAUGACAUAGAACACCAAUUGCGAAGGCAGCUGGCUACACAAAUAUUGACACUGAGGCACGAAAAGCGUUGGGGGAUCAAAACAGG